rnacentral:sRNA from 1 species
UAGGAUAGAAAUCUUAAUGAGGCAGUCUU